AACGAACGCUGGCGGCAUGCCUAACACAUGCAAGUCGAGCGAGAUCUUCGGGUCUAGUGGCGCACGGGUGCGUAACGCGUGGGAAUCUGCCCUUUGGUUCGGAAUAACAGUUGGAAACGACUGCUAAUACCGGAUGAUGACGAAAGUCCAAAGAUUUAUCGCCAGAGGAUGAGCCCGCGUAGGAUUAGCUAGUUGGUGUGGUAAAGGCGCACCAAGGCGACGAUCCUUAGCUGGUCUGAGAGGAUGAUCAGCCACACUGGGACUGAGACACGGCCCAGACUCCUACGGGAGGCGGCAGUGGGGAAUAUUGGACAAUGGGCGGAAGCCUGAUCCAGCAAUGCCGCGUGAGUGAUGAAGGCCUUAGGGUUGUAAAGCUCUUUUACCCGGGAUGAUAAUGACAGUACCGGGAGAAUAAGCUCUGGCUAACUCCGUGCCAGCCGCCGCUGUAA
rnacentral:rRNA from 1 species